AAGACUCUCGGCAACGGAUAUCUCGGCUCUUGCAUCGAUGAAGAACGUAGCGAGAUGCGAUACUUGGUGUGAAUUGCAGAAUCCCGUGAACCAUCGAGUCUUUGAACGCAAGUUGCGCCCGAAGCCAUUAGGCUGAGGGCACGCCUGCCUGGGUGUUGCACAU
rnacentral:rRNA from 1 species